rnacentral:rRNA from 1 species
CGAACGGGUGAGUAAUGAAUCGCUAACGUGCCCCGGACUUCGGGAUAGCUAUCCGAAAGGGUAGGUAAUACCGAAUGACAUAUUUCCUCCGCAUGGGGGGAAUCUCAAAGGUCCGCCGGUCUGGGAGCGGGCGAUUUCGUAUCAGCUAGUUGGUGGGGUAAUGGCCCACCAAGGCAUCGACGCGUAGCCGGACUGAGAGGUUGGCCGGCCACAUUGGGACUGAGACACGGCCCAG